CGCCAUGUAGGACUCCUUAAAACUGGCCUAAAAGGAAACGGAUCACCUGCUGACAGCCACUAGCAUUCACGCUCAUAGCCCAGGCCACAGGUCACCUGCUGACAGCCACUAGUACUAAUGUUUAUGGCCCAGGUCACAGGUCACAUGCUGAGAGCCACCAGCACUAAUGUUCAUAACCAGGUCACAGGUCACCUGCUGCCAGUCACUAGCCCUGAUGCUCAUGGCCCAGAUCUGAAAGCUUCAACACAUGACAGGUGCGGCGAUUCCCGAUCGCGUGGGUGAACGCAUGCAGCCCCACCCAGAGACUUCA